rnacentral:lncRNA from 1 species
UCGGGAGGCUCCUGUACGUUUAUUUCUAGCCCUUUCUCUUUCCUUCGGCUAAGCCAGACAGAAAAGGCACACAGACAGACGUCUGCACAACGUGCCUCAGGAUCCCUCAGGGAAAGCAGCUAACGUGGCAGUCCCUCCGCCCCUUUCCUUCCCCACGGGGUGGCCGCCAUGUUUCCAGAACACAAAAUGGCGACACGUGGCCUGGAUUCGUUGCCAACGAGAAAUUGGGGUCGACCCGAAAGCUCCAAAAUGCCCCCACCUCCCCACCCCGUGCGUGUUGGCCAGCGCCUUUCCCUCGCAGCCAGUGCUCUAACCACUCUGGUCCAAACCUAAGCUGCCGAAUUUGAAUGCAUUUCCCCCAUUAAUUUGAAGUGGGAAUGUUUAUAACUGUAAAAUGUAGGUGUGAUGCCGAGUCUCUCAUAGUCUUAAGUUUAAUAAUGGGUAAUGGUGGGGGGGGGGCAGUGCCAGUGGAUGAUUUGGGCCCCCAGUUACCAAAGCAUUUAAGAAUCACUGCUUUAAGAAAUAAGAUGGGAAGUUACUGAUUACCUAGACCUCUAGCCCAGGCUGGUGUGCUGGAGAGACUGAGAAAUGGUCUUAUAAAAUUUCUUAGAAUUUCCAUGAAGCAGUUUGGAUACCUGUGACCAUUUUCAGAGGCUAGCUGACGGUGAACCUAAGUUUACCACAAGUGGUAUUAACUUUCAGUAUGGAGGGACAGAUGUUAUUGUGCAUUUACCAGCGCAAGAUCCUGUGCUAGCAUUUUACUGCAUACUAUCUUUAAUUUUUACAGUGAUCUGAGGUAGGUGUUAUCUUUUUCUCUCUCUUUCUCUAACAGAUGAAUUCACUUAGGCCCAGAGAGAUGAAGUGACUAAUUCAAAGUCACACAGUGGAGGAUGGAUUCCAGACCUUCUGAUUUCCUAAUUGGUGAGCACUUUCUCAAAUUUUUCUGUAAGUCAGUGUUUUAAAAUUUAAGUGCUAUUUGAAGUUUAGGUGAGCUUGUCAUUUAAAAGAACCUCUCAGGUAACCUUUUGGUGCAUAGUCACCCCGUUUGUAUCUUUUGGGGAUUCCCAGCUUUUCCUGGUGUGAACUAUACCUUGGCUCAAAUGCUAUUUAAAAAAAUUUUUUUAAUUAAAAAAUUGGUGUCUGGGUGAGAAUUGGGAGUGGGAAAUGAUUCAGCCCUACCCAAAGGCUGAAGUAUGUGUCAGUCCAGCCUUGUCUGUGGCACAUUCAAGUCUCCCUGGCUCUGUGGGAGCAAGCAGUUUCUGACUCACUUGCUUCCUUUAGCUACCCAUGGGCACGACUUCCGCCUUCCUCACCCCAGUGUCCCAACCAAGUAAAAAUAAAUAAUUUCACUUUGGCGCCAAGCCUCCAUUUCUCCGCAAAUAUUGACAGAGCAUGACAGUGUUAAGGAAAUCAUGGUCUAUGAACUCUUCAGUUCAGUGUAACGAAUAACUUGUAGGUCAAGCAAGGAAUAUGUGCCUGAACAGGGCUCUACUUGUGUGGUUGUUAGAGAUGGAGAGAAGGGCUUUUUGCUUCUUUUAACUUACAUUAAUGUCUUAUAUCAUAGUUUUCAAAGUGCCUUUGCGUUACUUUGUGUAAUUCUAUAACCAACUUUAAUUGGUGGGUACGUUAUAGCAACAAUGGCAGUACUAGCAUUAAGUGCUAACUUUGUGACUGGCACUGUUUGAAGCUUUAUUCUGUAUGUUAUUUCAGUGGCUCUCACAUUUUUUUUUUAAGUUUAUUUAUUUUGAGAGAGAAAGAGUGUGCAAGUGUGCAAGUGAGCCCCUGAGUGGGGUAGGGGUAUGUGUGUGUGUGGGUGGGGGCGGGGGGCAGAGAGAGAGAGAGAGAGAGGGAGGGAGAGAAUCCUAAGCAGGCUUUGUACCGUUAGCAUGGAGCUGGACUUGAUCUCAUGAACCCAACCAUGAGAUCAUGACGUGAACCAAAAUCAAGGGUUGGUUGCUUAACUCACUGAGCCACCCAAGUCCUCCCCUCCUUUUUUUUAAGAUUUUAUUUUUAAGUAAUCUAUAUACCCAUUGUGGGGCUCGAAUUCACAACCCCAAGAUCAGAGUCACGUGCUCCACUGACUGAACCAGCCAGGCACCCCAACAGUUUUAAAAGUAAGCCGUCAAGAGAUAACAUUUUUACAAAAUAAUUCAUAUAUACAUAGGCAUAUGUAACAGAAACCAAAUCUUUGUAAAACAGUAUUUAUUUUUACUGUAUGCGGUGUACUCUGGUAAUUUCUGUUCAUUUACAUGAAAUAAAAAGGUGUAUCACAACUGAAGUGACAAACUGUUAUAAGGUUGUGACCAAAAUGAUUAAUAUACACAUUUAAUCCUCACAAAACUCCUUAGAUGAAAGUGAUGCAAUUUAUAUUUUACAGAGAUACAGAAAGGUGAAGGAUUUUGUCUAACACACAGUUAUUAAAUAGUAAAAUAUGUAUUUGAAUUUGGGCAGUCUGAGCCCAGAGCCUGUAUAUUUACCACUGAGCUAGAUGUGGUCUCUGCAGAUGGCCUUGUCUUUAAGGGAGACAGAGUUGUUUAGGGAAUUAAAAUUAUUAGUAAAUGUUACAAACAAACUGAAGAGGCAAUAAGAGAAAUUCUAUGUAAUGAAGAGUUAUAUCCUUAUUCAAAAUACUCUGGUCUGUAUGAGGUGCUUGGGUGGCUCAGUCGGUUAAGCAUCUGACUUCAUCUCAGGUCAUGACCUCACAGUUCAUGAGUUCAAGCCCUGCAUAGGGCUCUGUGCUAACAGCUCAGAGCCUGGAACUUGCUUUGGAUUCUGUGUCUCCCUCUUUUUCUGCCCCUCCCCUGCUCACACUCUGUCUCUCUCUCUCUCUCUCUCUCUCAACAAUAAGUAAAUGUGAAAAAAAGUUAAAACAAAACAAAAUAUUUUGGUCUCUAAAUCUGUCACAUAUUUAUUUCCCCUGAAGAAAAAUGUGUAUGUUGGGUCUUUCUUCCUGUCUAUUUAAAGCCUUUUUGCCUGAAAAUUUCCAUUAAUUCCUUCUUAUCUGAGUACCUCCCUGAUUCUACUCACCUCUUCCUUCAAUAAAGACUUCCCCUUCCCAGCCUCUCUGUUUCCCCCAGAGUCCUAUAGCCCCCACACCCCCCCUGUAGGCUACGUUUGGCUGUUAAUUAAAUUGUAAUCUGCAUUGGUGUUGAUAGUGUGUUGUACAGGGCAUUGGUGUCAUGGGUGACCCAGAGAUCUGGUAAAGAGGACAUUGGACUUGGGAAUCUGUGGCUCUGGCCCCUAGCUCCAGCUCUCCCACUGUCUAACUUUGAGAAGUCUACAACCCAGUUCAAAACUGGGCUUUGGUUUUCCCACGUGUAAAACAACAGAUUAAAUGAUCUUUUCUAAUUCUAUCCAGGGAGUGAUGAUACUUGAUGAUCUUGGGUAUCUCUGGGAGGGAGGAGGAUUAUGUAAAUAUUUUACUUAUGGUAAAUUUCCCCCUCCCUUCCUCAGACCUGCAGUAUCUUGUGUAUACGUGAUUGAAUUCCACACCACCCAUUUUACAGAUGAAGCCACUGAGAUAUGGAACAAUUGACUAAAUAGUCACUGCCCCACCCCUGGAGCCUCACACAUGACUCUUCUCCUCCCAUUUGAAUGACUGCAGGUUAGUUAAGGGGUUUAAUGAGUUUGGGAAGGUGAGUCAGGCUUAGACUUUGGAAAUUGAACCACAGGAUUUAUAUUCCAUUCAGAGGAGGGAUUUUUGCUUCCUUUUACCUCACAUUGGCAUGUUUAUGAAAUGUUUUAAAGUGAUUUCACAUUAUUUACUAAUCAUCACAGGCACCCUUGCCAUAAAAGUAUAAAUAUGCCUGUUUUAUGGAAGAGCUAUCUAUAGAUCAGAGGAAUGAAGUGACUUGCCUAAGGUUACACAGCUUGUCAGGACCUGAGCUGGGUCUCUUGACUUCUAGUUGUGGAUUGUUCCUCUCCUUGGCUUUUGAUGCUAGUUGCACUGACUUUGACACAUGGAAUAGUUUUAUCUUUAACUCAGAAAGCUUUCAAUCCAGCCUUUAUUUUUCUGUCCCAGAGCAUCUAGUCCACUUAUGUUAGGUUCCUGAUUCUUUUGGUUUAAGAAAAGCUCUUUCCUCUUUUUGUCUAAUGUUUACAUUUAUGGGUUUGGGAAGUGGUGGGAAUUAUUCCUUGAUGAGGCCGUGGAGGCAGGGACCACAUCCCUGCCCCCCCCCCCGCCCCCCAAUCUACCUUUCCAGCAAAUGUACUACAGCUUUUUAAAAAUUUUUUUUUUUUUCAACGUUUAUUUAUUUUGGGACAGAGAGAGACAGAGCAUGAACGGGGGAGGGGCAGAGAGAGAGGGAGACACAGAAUCGGAAACAGGCUCCAGACUCCGAGCCAUCAGCCCAGAGCCUGACGCGGGGCUCGAACUCACGGACCGCGAGAUCGUGACCUGGCUGAAGUCGGACGCUUAACCGACUGCGCCACCUAGGUGCCCCAUUACAGCUUUUUAAAUUUGCCCUACCAACAUGCAGUUUUGCAAAAAAUAAACAAACAAAAAACCAACAUGGUUUCUUCUUCUCUUACUCUUUCAGAUUUAGCUUCUUAUAUUUCUUUUAUUUGAAAUUAUAGUAAACUGAGAGGAUAUUUACCCUAUCACUUUCUGGGAUACUACAAAGUAUAACCUACGAAAUAUUUCUUACCCACUUUGUAGAUAGGAACAAUAUUUAUAAUAAUAAUCUCAUAUACUGGUGACCCUGUGCUGCCGUUAUGGGGUUAAUACUGAGUUUUCUCAGAAACUUAAGAAAUAUAUUGGUGUGCCUUACAAAAGUGCCCAGGAAAUACAGCAGCAUCCUUGGUCUAAGUUCUCCCGGUUGGGGAAAGUAAUGCCUAUGGAUUCCCAAGGGUUACUCUGACUGAAAUAAGUCAUGGAGAAUGGAGUGCAGAGAAAAAUUAAAGGAAAAAUGAGAACAGAGUACAAAUGUAAAGUAUAGAAAAUGAGGAAGGAAAAAAGAUAAGAAAAGGAAAAAGACAAGGGCAGAGAAAAGAGAAGAAAACAAGAUCAGUGGAACGGAUAUGAAGAGAACAAUUCCGAGGUUCAUUUGCUCCUUAUGUGAUGUGGGAAGCAUAGGCUUGCACCAAGAAAGAGCACCUGGUAUGAGAACUCAUGAACUGAUCUGAAGCACCAUGUCUCUUUUUGAAUCUUCUUUUUCUAAUAUCAAGUAGGGAAAAUUUGUUUCUACUAUCAGCUGGGGAUGUGAUUAGACACCAAUAGUUUCAAUAUUAGCCUUAGUCCUAUUGGUUUAUCAAGGAAAAUGUGCUAUAAAAAUCACAUUAAAGUAUUCCAGGUCAAAUUUUAUCCUAUUCAUUCAGUAAGCAAUUUUUUUUUCAAUUAUUACUAUUUUUAAGUUUAAUUUUACUCUCAGUGUGGGGCUUGAACUCACUACCCCAAGAUCAAGAGUUGCAUGCUCUACCAACUGAGCCAGCCAGGCACCCCAGUCAGCAAAUACUUAUGGAUUGCUUGAUAUGUCCCAGACACUAAGGAUAUAAAAAUGAAUGAGAUCCUGUUCUUGCCUUCAAGAUGUUUAUGAUCUGGAAAGGGACACUGACAAGUAAACAGAUUUGCAGUACAAUAUGUUAAGGUAUUAGGAUAUAAGUAAGCAGAGGAUGCUACGGGCUUAGAAGAAGGCCCUUGAUUCAGCCUUGGAGGGAAUCCAGAAUGACUGCCUAGCGAAGGUGACAUUUAGGCUGAGUCCCAAGUUGGCAGAUUACAAGGUGGAGGGCAGGAAAGAGUAACUCCAGGCAGGGAAGCAAAAGCCCAAAGGCAGAGAGUAUGCAGUCCAUUCAGAAGUUGAAGCCACUUCAGGAAGGUAUGAAGGAUGUUUGCAUGAUCCAGUUUUUUGUGAUUGUUGUACUGCUUUAGAAGUGUACAUUAUUGAGACUUGAUUAUGCUUACUAGAGCACAAAAAGUCUAAAUCCUUAUUUUGUAGCAGGAUUCUCUUUUAAGAUGAAGGUAUCAGAGGGACAUCUGGAUGGCUUAGUUAAGCGUCUGACUUCCUGCUCAGGUCAUGAUCUCACAGUCUGUGGGUUCAAGCCCCGUGUCAUGCUCCGUGCCGACAGCUCAGAGCCUGGAGCCUACUUCAGAUUCUAUGUCUCCCUGUCUCUCUGUCUGUCCCCUGCUUGCUCGCUCUCUCUCUUUCAAAUAUUAAAAAAAUUUUUUUUGUAAAAGAUGAAGCUAUCGCAAAUUGUACUUCUGGUCUAUAGAUUGUAAGAAGAAAAUGUAAAUAAAGCACAGUCUUUGAAUUAGCAAAUGGUUAUUAAACUUCUGUGCAAUAAAGGAAAGAAGGUGCAAGGCAUAGCAUAUCCCCCCGCCAUUUUUUUUUUCUUUAGGAUUUUAUUUUUAACUAAUCUCUGUACCCAAUGUGGAGCUCAGACUUACAACCCCUGAGAUCAAGAGUCGCAUGCACCAUUCACUGAGCCAGCCAAGCGCCCCAGCAUAUCCCUUUCUUAUCCAACUUUUGGAUUUGAUUGUAUUCUGCUUUGUUUUUAAGGAGGUGUAUGUGUGGAAGUUUAGGGUCUUUGUUUAGUUGGUUAGGAUCUUUGAGUUAGGGGGGAGGGAAAGGAUUUCAAGAAUAAUUGCUACUUUAUGGCAGAACAAAAGAAAUACAUUUAAAAAGCUCUUUUUUUUUUUUUAAUGUUUAUUUAUUUUUGAGACAGAGAGAGACAGAACAGGAGCAGGGGAGGGGCAGAAGAGAGACAGGGAGACAUAGAAUCUGAAGCAGGCUCCAGGCUCCGAGCUGUUAGCACAGAGCUGGAUACAGGACUUGAACUCACGAACCGCAAGAUCAUGACCUGAUCCAAAGUCAGACGCUUAACCAACUGAGCCACCCAGGUGCCCCUAAAGCUCAUUUUUCUGAUCUCACCUACUGAGCACAAACAAGACUUAGGGAACAUUGUUAGUUAAUUCAACCAGACAAAGCAUUUAACAUUAUUCCCUAUGUAAAAUCUGUUGUGGACAUGGAUAUAGCUGCAUUAAAUAAAAACCUUAUGUGUAUUCAUUGGACAAUACUGGGAUUUUACCUGGAGUAAAAGAAAAAAAGUACUAUAUGUAGAGUAGGGAAGAACAUGCUUGGAAAAUAGCACACAGAUUCAGUGGUCAUUUCUCAGUCAUCUUCUUGACCCUGUAGCACCUGAAACUCCCUCCUUGCACAUUAGUUUUGUUUGACUUCCAGGAUGCCACUCUGUUGGUUUCCCCCCUCCUCACCAGCCCCUCCUUCUCACCCCCCCACCUUUUGGCUGAUUCCUCCUUAUCUCCUCAGCCUCUAAUGAAGGAGUACUCAGAUUAGUCCUUGCAUCCCUUCUCUGUUUAUACUCAUUCCCUAGGUGCUCUCUUUCAAGACCUCAAAUACCAUUUAUACCCUGAGAGCUCUCAAGUGUAUAGUACUAGCUUGGAUGUCUUCCCUUGAACUCAAGACUCAUAUCCAACUGCCUACAAGAUAUCAUCUCCACUUGGUUAUUUAAUAGCUUCUUGAGCUUAAUGUAUUCAGCAAAUUAAUUCUGGAACUUCUCUUCUCAAACAUGUACCUCUGCCAAUUCUUCCCCAUUUUAGUUUCAGUUGUAUUGAACAUAUGGAGGACUCUCCCUUGACUCUCUUCCUUUUCUUGCUCUCUUCAUCUAAUCUACUAGUAGGUCCUAUGAGCUCUACCUUAAAAAACAUCCCGGAUUUGAACACUUCUCACCACUUCCCCUGCUACUUUUAGAAUAGCCUUCUAAAUUGUCUUCCCUCAGUCUAAUCUGAACAGUGACCAGAGUCGUUUUGUUAAGUUUACAUCAAAUCAUUCCACUCCUCUGCUGAAAACUAUUCACUGGGUCCCACCCAUGUUAAAAAUUAAAGUCCUUACAGUGAUCUAAGAGGCCACAUAGCAUAUUCAGUGCUCCCCCAGCUGCUCUGACCUCAUCUUUUAUCACUUUCUCCUUGUGCUCUGGACACAUUGGUCUCCUUGCAGUUGCUCCAGCAUGCCAAGCCUUGAACUUCUUAGUGGUGUUCUUUGCCUGGAAUACUUCUUCCAGUUACCAGUAUGGUCUCCUUCCUUACCUCCUUCAGGUUUCUGCUCUUGUCACCUAGUUUGUGAAACAUUCCUUGACCAUCCUAUUUAAAGUAAAAGCCAUCUCCUGCCCUCUUCAUUCCUUCUUCCCUUUUCCUGCUGUAUUUUUCUCCACAGAACUUAUCACUGUUUGAGGUACUAUUCAUUCAUUCAUUCUUCACAUAUUUAUUGAGGGAUGCCUACUAUGUGCCAAGCACUGUACUGGGGACUCUCUCUACUAUAGUAUGUUUAUUAUUUGUCACCUGCCACUGGAAUGUAAAUUUCCUGAUGACUAGGACUUUGUUUUGCUUGUUGCUAUAUUGCCAUCUCCUAGAAUACUGUCUAGCACAUUGCAGUUGAAUGAAUACAUUUAUUCAGAUUUUAAACAAAAACGUAUUGAAUGUAUAGGGGAUUGUGUACCAGAUAAUGAGGGAAAGAUAUGUAUAAAUAAUAUAUUGUUCCUGCCCUCAAGUUGCUCAGUCUAAAAUAUGCUUAUUUUGACCUGAACAGUACUGUGUUCUCUAACAGGAUAAAGUGUUACAUCAUUUUGUAAUUGGGGAGGUGGAGGUAGGGACUAGUGUGCAAGGGUAUGGAUCUCUUCAGAGGUGAAGUCUUGCUUUAUCAGGCUUAUCAAUAAUUUGUACUGGUUCUGGGAGGGCAGGAUUGCUGAUAGCUCACUGCAUUACUGGCUUUUUGGAUUGUAAUUUCUGUUUAGUUUUGUCUUUUUGGGGCAGGAGCUUCUUUAAAAUCCUGCUAUCAGUCUUGGUUCUUUUUAGAUAUCUUCUAGGAACCUCUGUCACAGCCACUUUUUUCUUUUUUUUUUUUUUUUAAUUUUUUUUUUUCAACGUUUAUUUAUUUUUGGGACAGAGAGAGACAGAGCAUGAAUGGGGGAGGGGCAGAGAGAGAAGGAGACACAGAAUCGGAAACAGGCUCCAGGCUCUGAGCCAUCAGCCCAGAGCCUGACGCGGGGCUCGAACUCACAGACCGCGAGAUCGUGACCUGGCUGAAGUCGGACGCUUAACCGACUGCGCCACCCAGGCGCCCCACAGCCACUUUUUUCAAGAUAAGUGAAGGAGUUUACUAUCUUUACCUUCCUCCAUAUCUGAAAGUUCUUUUCCAGAAACUGUGGUCAUCGAUGUACUAACUGUUUGGUCUUGAACCUCUCAGAACCUCAGUUUCUGCACUUGUCAAAUGGAGAUAACGAUAAAUGACAUCAGUCUUUCUUCUUUUUAAAAAAAAAUUUUUUUUAAUCUUUAUUUUUGAGAGACAGAGAGACAGCAUGCGAGUGGGGGAGGAAUAGAGAGGGAGACACAAAAUCCGAAGCAGGCUUCAGGCUCUGAGCUGCCAGCACAGAACCCAAUGUGGGGCUCGAACUCACAAACCGCGAGAUCAUGACCUGAGCUAAAGUCAGACGCCCAACCGACUGAACCACCCAGGCACCCCGACGUCAGUCUGUCUUCUUAUGAGGAUGAAAUGAGUAAAUACUGAUUUUGAGAGUGGGGCAGUAGAGAAGGGAAAGAGAGAAGAAUUUCCUUUUUUUUUAUAAAGUAUUUUUAAAAAGUUUAUUUAAUUUUUUAAAAUCUUUUAUUUAUUUUUGAGAGAGCAGGGGAGGAACAGAGAGAGGAAGACAGAAUCUGAAGCAGGCUCCAGGCCCUGAGUUGUCAGCACAGAGCCUGAUGUGGGGCUUGAACCCGUGAAUGGUGAGAUCAUGACCUGAGCUGAAGUUAGACACUUAACUGACUGAGCCACCCAGGUGUCCCUAAAGUUUAUUUAUUUAUUUUGAGAGAGAGGGAGAGAGAGUGUGUGCUAGUGGAGGAGGGGCAGAGAGAGAGGGAGAGAGAGAAUCCGAAGCAGGCUCUAUACUAUCAUCACAGAGCUCGAUACAGGGUUUGAACUCACAAACUGUGAGAAUAUGACCUGAGCCGAAAUCAAGAGUCAGAUGCUUAACCAACUGAGCCACCCAGGUGCCACUGAAAAAAAAAUUUUUUUUUCUUUAUGUUUAUUUAUUUAGAGAGUGUGAGCUUGGGAGGGGCAGAGAGCCGAGAGAGAGGGGGGGACAGAGGAUCCGAAGAGGCCUCUGCGUUGACAGCAGUGAGCCCAAUGUGGGGCUCGAACUCACAAACUGUGAGAUCAUGACCUUAGCCAAAGUCAGAUGCUUAACCAGCUGAGCUACUCAGGAACCCCCAAAAAACUUUUUAAUACGCUUAUGUUUCAUUUCUACCGAGAGUAGUGAAGAUUUUUUUUAAUAUAUGUUUUUAAAUGUUUGUUUAUUUUGAGAGAGAGAGAGUGUGAGCAGGGGAAGAGUAGAGAGGGAGACAAGAAAAUCCCAAGCAGGCUCCACGCUGUCAGCACAGGGCUCGACGUGGGGCUUUAUCUCACAAAUCGUGGGAUCGUGACCUGAGCCGAAACCAAGAGUUGGUUGCUUAACUGAAUCACCCAGGAGCCCCAUAAAGAUUUUAUUUUUAAAAACAAAGAUGUUAGGGUCCUGGGUUUGGGCUUUAGGGUUAAACGUAAAAAAAAAAAAUGAUUAUUUAAAAAAAUACAUUAAUAUAUUGUUUUUUACAGAGUAACAGGUUUUUAGAAAAUAUUUCCUUGUGUUUCUACUCAGGUUAUUACUUUUGUAUUACAGAAGGGCAGUGAAAUACUAGAACCCCACCCCAGGCUGCGUGGUGAGCUGGUGUCUACGUAGGCAAACAACCAUUUCCUUUUAGGUGAAGUUGGAGUUCAGGAAGUACUAUUUGAAGAGGCUCAAAGGGAUUGAUGAUGAUAACAACAGCAAUAAUAGUAGUGUCUAACUGAUGAACCAGGCACUUUAUGUAGAUUGUCUUAUUUUAACAGCAUAGCAACCACAUGAAGUCUGGUGCCUUGAGAAGUACAGCAGUGUAGGAGUAAAGAGCAUAGACUCUGGGGUCAAACUUUCUGUACUCACUUCACAGCUUUGCCAGUAACUAGCUGUGUGGUCUUGAGUGAGAAAACUGCCUCUUCUUCUUCUGUAAGAUGAAGAUAAUAAUAGUAACUGCUUCAUGAGGUUGUAACGAUUAAAUGAUGUAAGCCCUGUAAAGCACAGUACUUGGCAUAUAGAAAGUGCUCACCAAAUUUUAUUGUAAUAAAAGUAGAUGGAGAAACAGAGGCUUAGAAAGAGGGAAGUUAAUUUGCCUUAGUGACACAGCAAAUAUAAAUGACAGAACAGUAAUUUGUGCCUGGGAAGUCAAACUCCAUUGCCCUUCCUUCCUUCCUUCCUUCCUUCCUUCCUUCCUUCCUUCCUUCCUUCCUUUCUUCCUUCCUUCUUCCUUCCUUCUUUCCUUCCUUAAAUAGGCUCCACAUGGGGCUUGAACUUAAAACUUUGAGAUCAGGAGUUGCAUGCCACUGACUGAUCCAGCCAGGCACCCCAUUCAGCGCUCUUGUUUCUUAACCAUUACAUUGUACCGCCAUUAUGGAUUGAGGGUGAGAGCCUGGACAAGAACCAUAUUUUGUCCAACUUGAGGUGAGCAUAGAUCUAAAGGUCACACUUGGGUUCAGACCUAUGGAAGCUUUAUUUGUGCUCUUUUUUUUUUUUUAACAUUUUAAAUUUAUUUUUUGAGAGAGCAAGGGCAGGGGAGGGGAAGAGAGAGAGGGAGACACAGAAUCUGAAGCAGCUUCAGGCUCUGCACAGAGCCUGAAGCAGGGCUUGAACUCAUGAACUAUGAGAUCAUGACCUGAACUGAAGUCAGACACUUAACCAACUGAGCCACCCAGGGACCCCUUUAUCUGUGUUCUUAACACUGUAGCAUGUACUGGUUAUUCUCUGAAGUGAUUGUUCCCUAGAUCCAAACAAAUGAAUGAGUGAUGGGUUAUUUAUGGUCUGCUGAGGGGUUGAGUGUUCCCUGGCUGGGGCCAGGAAAUGGAGCUGAAUAAACACCUGUAUCUUACCCACUGCUCUUGGACCUAAGUAGGAGCUUGUCUAGUGUCUUUUGUUAUUAUGAUUGUUACUCCUUAUACAACUGGUAAUGAUGAGAAGCUGAGCAGUGUAUAUAUCAAGCACUUUAUUUUUUAUUUUAUUCAUUUAUUUUUAAAAUUCUUUCUCUCUCUCUCUCUCUCUCUCUCUCUCUCUCUCUCUCUCUUUCUUUCUUUUGUGCGAAUCAGGGAAGGGAGCAGACAGAGAGAGAGAAUCUCAGAGACUCCACGCUCAGUACACAGCCCAACUCGGGGCUCAGUCCCAUAACCCUGGGAUCAUGACCGGAGCCAAAACCAAGAGUUGGGUGCUCAACUGACUGAGCCACCCAGGCACCCAGUAAAUAUUUUAUUUUUAAGUAAUCUCUGCACCCAACAUGGAGCUCGAACUCACAACCCCGAGAUCAAAAGUUGCAUCCCCUCCCAACUAGGCCAGCCAGGAGCCCCUACAUUGAGCACUUUAUGUGCCAUGCAUUUGACAUAGAUUAUCUCAUCUAGUCCUUAAUGUAACCGUAUGAGGUAGUCACUCCUAACCCUAUUUUAUAGAAACAGAGAGAUUAGGAAACUUGCUUAAACUCACAUAGUGUGUGUGGUGGAGCUGGGAUUUGAAUACACAGUCUGACUCUAGAGUCCACAUUCUUGAUCUCUACACUCUAUUGUUUCUAUUCUUUCCUGUGUAAAGUAUAUAGUAUAUGGUAGGUGGCUUAGUAGGUCCAGUCCUGUUUUUCCCAUCUGAAAAAUGGGAAGAUUUUGACUAGUGGGCUAGAAAUAAGGAGGCCUGUGAUCUUGUCCUAACCUUGUCACCAACUUGCCACAUCCAGGACUUCACUUUUCUUAGCCUCAUUGUCCUCAUUCAUUAAACAAAAGGGUCACUCUAGAUGGUCUCUGAGAUCCCUUCUAACUCUUAAUGUUCUGAUUGACCAUAUGAAGUGAGGAGAAUAACACCUGCUCAACUCCUUGAUUUUGGAGUGGUGGUAUUUGUGAGGUUUUAGGGAGUCUGCUUUGUGUAAGGGAAGAUGCCAGAUUUUAGGACAGAGAACAUUGCUUUCCUGAAGAAGGUAGGUCUGGGCUCUUUUUUGAGGGUGGUUGCCUAGGGAACCUAGCCUCUGGCCAGCAACAGUCAGGAAUGCUUUGGUUAAGAGUUGGCUACAGAUAACUAAAACAAGCAGCACAUUUAGGUUUCACUUUCCACCCUCCCCCCCCCCCCAGAUACCUUUCCUUUUCAUGCUCCCAGUUUGAUACACUUCUAUAUAUUAGUAUUUAACAGGAGUUUGUUAUUUAAAUUUUUAUUGUAAUCUUAUGAGGUAAGUACUAUUCUAAAUUUACAGUUAAUGAAAGUGAGGCAAAUAGAGUUAAAUAAUUUGUCCAUAGUUACUCAAGUGGAAAGUGGUAUUCAACCCACUAUGUUGUACUGCCUGGUAGGAACUUAAAAAAAAAAAAAAAGCAAAGGGAGGAUUCUUUAUUUAUUGGUGGUGUUUUGUUUUGUUUUUUCUUUAAAAAGUUUUUUUUAAGUUUAUUUAUUUUGGUAGAGUGUGAGCAGGGUAGGGGUAGAGUGAGAGGGUAGAGAGAGAAUCCCAUUGUGGGGCUUGAACUCAUGAACUGUGAGAUCAUGACCUGAGCCGAAAUCAAAUUGGACACUUAACCAGCUGAGCUACCCAAGUGCCCCUGUUUUUGUUUUCUUUAGAAUAGUAGACUCUUGGAGUUGGAAAGAGCCUUUACCAUAGUCAAUCUCCUUGCCUACUGUCUGCCAUCUGGUUACAGGAACGCUUUCCAUCAUACCCCUGACAGAUGAUCACCCAAGUUCUUUUUGAAUACUUCCAUUGCUGGGGAGCUAGCUCAUUACUUCUUGAGGAAUCCCAUUAUAUGUGACUUGUUCUCUUGGGUAAGAGAUUAUUUCUUGUUUUGAAAUUAAAUCUAAUUGAGAUGACUUACCAGUUUUAGGCCUGUCUUCUGGAACCGUUUAGGAUAAUUAUGAUCCAUCUUCCAUAUGCCAAUCUUGUUAAUGUUUGAAGACCCUUUUCCUAUUUAUAAGUCAUUUGUAGUUUUCUCAUAGCAUCUAAACUUGCUUUCAGUUUGGAUUGGUCUGCACAAAGCAGUCUCUAUUUUUUAUUGCUUUGCAAGUGCAGCCUUGCAACAGAUCUGUGCUUCACUUCUUAUGGUUAGGCACAAAGUAUGGGCUCUUUCCACAUCUUUGGAGAACGAAUAAAUGGUGAGCUGAGUCUCUACUAUAGUAUAUGAGUCUGAAGGGUUUGCAGUUUCCUACUCUUGUAAUCUAAUGUCCAUUAGACUGUUGCCCUGUACACACUGUUAGAGCUCACAAAAUGGCUGGAAGUUUAUCCGGGCAUUUGACAACAUUGCAUUUACUUCAUCAGGCCACUAGGUGAUGAACAACUCACAAACCCAGACUUCCAGGGGCAGUUGUAUACAGGACAGUUUUAGAUUGUAGUUGGAAAGGCUAUCAGAAGUCAUUUGGUACAACCUUAUUAAAAGGUCUUUUGGGGAUGGGGGGAGGGGAAACAUGUCUUGUGUAUACUUUGUCUUUCCCAGCUUUAUUCCAAUUUUAAAUAUUAAUUUGAAUAGGGUACUUCUUUCUCUGAGUGAUCUUAGAAAAGGGGCCUGGGUGGUACUUUCAAGGUUCUUUUGUGCCCAAUUAUGUAUAUGUAUAUUUCAAAGGUUUUAUUUUUAAGUAAUCUCUACCCAACGUGGGGCUCAAACUUAUAGCCCUGAGAUCAAAAGUCUCAUGUUCUACCAACUGAGCCAGCCAGGUGCUCCUGUAUUUUACCAUAAUGUAGGAAUGAUGUCUUGGCUUGGUUUAGGAUUCUCAAAUAGUAGUUCUAGCCACUACAAAGUCUACAUGCAGCUUUCUUCUGUCUUCAGUUUCAAGUGAUACAGAUGGGAAGUCCAGUGCCAAUAGGAUUAUUUUUCCUUGUAAGUAAUUACCUGUCCUUUCUCUUUGGAAGUUUGUAAAUUUUUUUCUUCAUGCUUAGAUUUCAUCAUGAUAUGCUUUGGGUGUGUUUCUUUUUAAAGUAACUCUGCUUGCCCCUUGUUAACCUUUUUUAGAUCUAAAAACUUAAGUCUUUUCUUAACUCAAGGAAGUUUCCAUCUGUUUCCAACCUUCACAGAAGAAGAAACUGUCCAGAAAGAUGACUUACUCAAGGUCACUCAGCUAGUUAAAAAUGAACUUCAAGCAAAUAACUUGACUUCUUUGAUGACCUAUAUUUUCAUUGUACUGAAUAUUGCUCUGUUGAGAGGGCCAACAUGAAAAACUUGGGAAAUUUUUUAGUGAGACACGAAUUUUGCUGAGGGUCCGUGGGGACAUGAAGAAGGACAAAGAGAUGAUAAAAUUAAUUAUGAUUAAAAUGUGGCCCAUUUGGGGGCUCCUGGGUGGUUCAGUUGGUUAAGUAUCUGACUCUUGAUCUCAAUUUAGGUCAUGAUCUCACGUUUUGUGGGUUUGAGCCAUGUUUCUGGCUUUGCAAUGAUGGUGUGGAGCCUGCUUGGGAUUCUUCCUUUUUCUCCUUCUUUCUUCCCCUCCGCACUCAUGCUUGCAAGCUCUCUCUCUCUGAGACUUUCUCAAAAUAAAUAAAUAAAAAUGUGACGCAUUUGAAGAACUAUAAAAUUCACAAGGUAUCCCAGUUACUGGAGUUAACCCAGAGCUCUAAAACUUAAUAAAGCUAGUUUUGCAAGGGAGAAAGACUUGAUAAAGCCAGGAAGUUUAUUGAACACUUGGAUAACUAGAUACUUAGUUGUCAGGAGUUGGGUAAGUAUGGUCAUGCCCUAUUGUAAAUAUUGGAAAACAUAUGAGUAUCUGAAGGCUUGGAGACAGACAUCAUAAAUUGUGUCUUAUCAGUGGUCUGGUUUCUGUUUUGAGUUCCAGCCUGGGACCCUUUUCUGCUGGGAACCACCUGUCCCUGGCUCUGUUGAUCUUUGGAUUUCCCCAGCCCUCAGUCCCUUUCAGUUUUGAAAUGAAACCUACCCCACCGGGUGAGGUCAGGUACUGAGAGAACUUUGACAGCUCAUACCAGGUUGUUUUUUUUCUAGAGUCUGGUAUGUGACUGUGUGAAGUGUAAGGCUCAGCAGGCUGUGAUAUAGACUAAUUGAUGGUGAAUCACCUGUUGGGUAGGGCCCAGGUAGUGCCAUUUCUUUGGGUAACCAGGAAAACAUGUAGACCAAAUAUGUUGUCUUUCAUCCUCAGACACUUGAAACUUAAGAGUACAGUCACCAGAGAUCUGCCAUGAUCUCUCUGCCUUGGGUUACUACAGAAGGAAAGACAUUGUUUUAUUUCAGUGUCUUUUCUCCUCAUUUUUAGAACCUCCAUUCUUUUCAGGAAGGAGCCAAGUCCUUGGCCUCUUUCUGCUGCUCCAGCUUCUAAAUGUUUAUACUGUGCCUCCUGGAAUUGCUGCUUUGAUGUGAAGUGUCUCCUCUAGAUACCCCUAGACACACAUGCCCUGCCCCAACCCCUUCACAGAAUUUAGCUUCCCCUUUUCCCUUUGUUGUGAAACUAGUUUCCAUGAUGCUAUAGCACUUUGCUUGGAAUCUUUAUAAGUGGUACUGGCUCUUUCUGUAACUCACCCCAUACCACUUCCCCCUGAUUUUACCUGACUGUCCCCCAGCCACAUCCCUCAGCACUGCAAAACUGCUUCCAGACUUUCAAAUACUUUUCCCCCUUUGAGACUUCUGCUGGCCAGCAAGGUUACCUGAUCCUUGUCCUUGAGUACAGUUAGCAUCUGUACUCAACAUGGGGCUCAAACUCACAACCCCCAAAUCAAGAGUUAUAUGCUCUACUGACUGAGCCAGUCAGGUGCCCCUCAUUCUCCCAUGUUUGUUUAAAAUUUUAGUGUUUGACCUCUCCUCCUGGGACUCUGGCCCAGGCUAGGGGAUUGGUGGUCAGGUUUGGCCUGGGUCUAGUGACUCAGGGUAGACGGUGGAAUUAGGGAGCUUGGUGUCAACAUCUCAGAUGUGGGCAGAUGGGAAACUGUAAGAUCUGAACACCAGAGCCAUCUGGGGUGGAAGGGACAGAGAAAAUUUAGCAUCUGAAGCAAAGGACAUCCUUUGUAGGUUCCCUCUUCUGCUCAUUUGAAAAAAAAUUAAGGGGUGCCUGGGUGGCUCAGUCAGUUGGAUGUCGGACUCUUGAUUUCAGCUUGGGUCAUGAGCUCGCAGUUUGUUGAUCUGAGCCCUGCGUCAGGCUUCAUGCUGACAGUGCAGAGCCUGCUUGGGAUUCUCUGUCUCCUUGUCUCCCUCUCUUUCUUCCCCUCUCCCACUUCUGCACACCUGUGCCCUCUCAAAAUAAAUAAAAAUAAAAAAAUUUUUACAAAUUAAGUUUUUUUAUAACAGUUUUAGGUUCACAGAAAAAUUGAGGGGAAGAUAACAGAUUCCCAUGAUUAUUAUUUUUAAGUAAGCUCUAUGUGGGGCUCAAACUCACAACCCUGAGAUCAAGAGUCACAUGCUCUCUCUCUGCUCCUCUCCCCUGCUGUGCACGCUGUCCCUUUCUCUCUUUAAAACAAAACAAAACAAAAAAAGAGUCACCUGCUCUACUGACUGAGCCAGACAGGCACCCUGAGAUCCCCAUUAUUUUUGAAAAAUUGAUCUUUAAUUUCAUAGGGAAUAUAGUAAUAUAAUCUAAAAAAAAUGAAAAUCGGUAGACAUUUUGAAUUCUCUUGUUCUCCUCCCAUUCUCAUUUCACUUAUUUUUGUAUUCCUCAAAGGUGGUAACCUUGUUAGUGUUUGAAAUGUAGCUUCUAGACUUUUUUCUUUGUGUUUACAUACAUGUGUAUGAACCCAGAAAAAGAGUUAUUUUUGUGUUUAUACAAAUGGGGUCACAUUUUACGUAUUAUUUCAGUAUUUCUUUGAUUCAGUAAUGUACCUGGAUAAUAUUUCAUGUUGAUACAUAAAGAUAACUUCUCCUUUAUUUUGGCUACUGUGUAGUUUUUUGUAUAAUAGAUACACUGUGUAUAGCUACUUUCCUAUUGAGAGACAUUAAGGUAUUUCCAUUUUGAUGCUAUAAAUGAUUCUUGUUGUGUUUUAAAUGUUAGCAUUCUUUCCUAGGGCUUCUUUUUUCUUUUUCCUCAUACUCUUCCUAGGUGAUCUCAACUUCUCUGACAGCUCCACUUAACCAUCUACACAUGGAUGAUGCCCAGAUCUUUCUAUGGACCACAGUAUCCAACUGCUCAUGUAGACAACAUCGCAAGGAUGUUUUGCAUACUCGGCAAAAUGCAGUCUCCUGCUCUUCCCCACUUGCUCGUCAUCCAUUGUCCUCAUCACAUGUAAGUAGCACACUCUUGAUAGGCCCAAAGCCUGGUAGUCAUUCCCUUCCCCUCGUACAGCCAGCAACCAGCCUGUCACUAGGACUUUUCCUCCCCAUUAUUUCUUGGAUCCAGUUGCUUUCUUUCCUUCUUCAUUGCGGGUACUUUGUCCCUUAGUUUUCUGAUUUAUAAAAUAGAGUAUUUGUGAGUACUAAAUAAAUUAACACACAUAAAAUGCUUAGAACAAUAGAUUGGCACCCAGUAAGUGCUAUGUGAAUAUUGAUUAUUGUCAUCAUCAUCGUCACCGUUGUUGUUGGGGUCUUCUCAUCUUAGUGUACAUAAUCCAUUCUCAUAUCUACCUCCAGUCUUGAUUUUAUCCUUCCCUACCUCUGUUCCAUUCUGCACAUUGUAGCCAGAGUGAUCUUUAUAAUAUAUACAAAUGAUCAUGGUCUAACUUUCCUGCUUAAAACAACUUCGGUGAUUUCACAUUGGGCUUUUACAUGUACUGUCACCCCCAUCUGGAAUGCUUUUUCCUUGGUCUUUGCAUGGUUAUUUGUUUUUUUGUUUGUUUGUUGUUUUGAUAUACCUGUUUCUAAAUGUCAUCUUCUCAGAGAGGCCUUCCCCUGACCACCUAAUUAUUCCAAAGUAGCCAUACCUAUUCUUUCUAUCACAUCACCUUUUUUAAUCUUUGCAUAACACUUAUUAAUACGUUAUUUUUCUGUCUUAUUCACGUAUUUGUUUAUAAUCUCCUUCAAUUAAUUUUUUUUAUUUAAUUUUUUUUUUAAACUAGGCUCCACACCCAGUAUGGGACUUGAGCUCAUGACCCUGAGAUCAAGAGUUGCAUGUUCUACCAACUGAGCCAGCCAGGCAUCCCUAGUCUCCUUCAAUUAGAAUUAAAUUCUCUGAGAAAGACAGAUACAUGUUUUCACUCAUAUGUGGAAUUUGAGAAAUUUAACAGAAGACUAUGGGAGAAGGGAAGAAAAAAAAACAGUUACAAACAGAGAGGAAGGCAUUUCAUAAGCGACUCUUCAAUACAGAGAACAAACUGAGGGUUGAUGGGGGUGUGGGGUUGGUGGAACAGGGAAAAUGGGUGAUGGGCAUUGAGGAGGACACUUGUUGGGAUAAGAACUGGGUGUUGUAUGUAAGUGAUGGAUCAUGGGAAUCUACUCCUGAAGCCAAGAAUACACUGUAUACACUGUAUGUUAGCUAACUUGACAAUAAAUUUAUAUUAAAAAAAAAAAAGAAUUUUCUGAGAAUGAGGGUAUUGUUUGUUUUAUUCGCUAUUCUCUUCCUAAUGCCUAGAACAAUGCCUGGCACAUUGUAGGCACUCAGUGAAUACUUGUUAAGUGAAUUACAAAACAACUUCGCAUGUCUCAGGAGUCCCUUUUUGGUCUCCCCAGCAUCAUUUGCUUCAGAACACCUUCUACUUUGGCUUCCCUACCCCCCCCCCCCCCCCCCCAUCUCUUCAGAUGUGUUUUCUUGCUGCAAGAAUUUUUUAUAUUAUGUUCCCUUUACUUAGAACGCUUUUCCUCAGGGUGCCCAAGUGGCUCAGGUUAAGUGACAGUUUUGAUUUCAGCUCAGGUCAUGAUCUCUUGGUUUGUGAAAUCAAGCUCAUGUUGGGCUCCACGCUGACAGUGCUCAGAGCUUGCUUCUGAUUCUCUCUCUGCCCCUCACCUGCUCACAGUUGCUUCUUCUCAAAGUAAAUAAACUUUAAAAAAGAAAAAAGGAUCACUUUUCCUCAAGUGCUCUGCCACUGCCUGGGUAUCUCCUAUUCAUCCUUCAAGUUUCAGCUUAGGUGUAACUUCACCUGACUGUCUUUUUUUUUUUUUUUAAAUGUUUGUUUAUUUUGAAAGAGAGGGAUAGAGAAUCUCAAGCAGGCUCUACUGUGUGUCAGUGCAGAGCCUGAUGCAGGGCUUGAUCCCAUGAACCAUGAAAUCAUGACCUAAGUUGAAAUCAAGAUUUGUACACUUAACUGAGCCACCCCGGUGCCCCAUGACUGUCCUUAGUCUUCCAGCUCUACGUGCAUUACCUUUAAUUAUACAUACUGUAAUUAUUUGUCUCCCUUACUAGAUGGUAAGUUUUGUUGGGCAAAGGCCUAGGCCUUGCUUACUGUGUAUUCUAAGUGCUACAGCUGUGGGCUGGAAGCAUCUCUUGAGAUGAGGUGCUGGGUAGGAGUACCCAGAGUAGUACUUGAGGGCUAAGAAGUGUGCCUUAGAAUGUCAGAGUAAGGUCUAGUCAUUUGGCCCUAGCUCAUUGUCAUUCUCCUUAUUCCAUCUUCGGUGAUUCCAGUAUUUUCUUGAAUGAGCCAUUUAACAUGCUUGAGAUGAAUCAUCUAAUACACUUGUCUCUCUCUCAGAUAUAUUCACAAAAUCAGGGUAGGUCUGGCAGAGAACUUGCCCAUGGAAGGGAGCAUGAGUGCUGAGGAUAAAAGUUGGGGAUCUGGGUAGGCAGAUUAUUUACUCUUGAGUGGCUGAUGGCAGAAUAACUGAGAGUGGAAUGCAAUCCUCAGCAAGGAAAGAAACAAAAGGCCUUAGGGAUAAGGUGAGGCAAAGAUGAAACAGGAAGCUGAAUCAUUAAGUCAGAAACUUAGAGAAUCAGGAUGGUGGGUGGAGUGUAAGAAAGGACAGGGCAAGCAAUUCAAGAUUAAGGCCAUAAAUAAUCUUGGGGAUUACGUAAAUCAUCUUUUGGCAUUCUCACCUCUUUAGUGUGGAACCAGCUUUUGGAUUAAAAGAAGAAUCAGGUAGUUGACAUAUAAAGGUUUGAGCUAGAUUUCACAUUAGUUUGUAUUUUAUAAGUUAAUUACCUGAAUGUGAAAUCCUCAGAAAUCCAACCAUGUACCUUUCUCCACACUUCAGUUUCUGCUCCGAAGAGCUGACUUCCCCUCCUUUUAUUUUUUUAUUUUUUUAAGUUUAUUUUGAGAGAGAGCGAGAGAAGGCAAGCAUGAGUGGGGGAGGGGCAGAGAGAGAGGGGGAGAGAGAGAAUCCCAAGCAGGCUCCACACUGUCAGUAUGGAGCCCGGUGCAGGGCUGAAACUUACGAACUGUGAAAACGUGACCUGAGCUGAAAUCGAGUCAGAUGCUUAACUGACUGAGCCACCCAGGAGCUCCUCCCUCCUUUUAAAUACACUAAGUUUAACUAGCUAAUUUUCAAAAAAAGUUUCCUGUACAGAAGCCUGUAGCAAUCCUGGUGCUCUCUUUAGGUAGGCUGAGGAUAUUCCCUUUACAUAGAAUGAUCACUCUUUCAAGCUGUUUCUCCUCCUACCAAACCAUGCAUAGGAACUGGCUUCAGCAGUCUCGGGAAUUCAGGACUCUGCCUAGCCUGAAUCUGUGGAAUUUCUGUCUGAAUUGUGGGGAAGGACAUGGGAGUGUAGAUUCUGUUGGUGAGGCAUAGUAGUAGUGGAAGACUGGCUGGGUGUGCAUAGAUGUGAGGUUUGAAGCUGUAUAGGCAGUGGGCUUCAAAGUUUCUGACCUGGAAUGGUCUUUGAAUGUAUGGCAGUGUUAGUGUGGUCUAAUAUAUGCCAAAUAGAGAAUCUUGGUGAUUGGUGCCAGUCAUUAGCCCUUAGAGGCAUUCUGUAUGUUUUUCUGUGUGGCCUGGAAGUCUUCUACAGACUGACCAGUAGCUGGCAUCACGGUGGGUACCUGGGGAGAAUCACGGGGAUAGGAGCAGUACUUACUAAAGAGGGAUAUAUUCUCUUUUGAAGGUUGGAUGGAGUGAUUAUGUGCACAUCCUGGGCAGUCUAAGGCCCAGUCACCUUGCCUGUGUGAGGCAAGGUAUCUGUAUUCCCCUCCUAGGGCUCUGCUGGGAAAACCAACCUAAGAGGGCCAGAGAUCAUGGCCACUCUUAGUGAUUCGCACAGGAAUGCUCCCCAUCUUUGACUCCUCUGUUGUUUAAGCCCCAUGCUCUGAUGGCCUGCCUUCUGUUUUCUGCUUUGGUACCUUCAAAUUUCAUAAUCCGUUCUGACUUUUCUUUCUAGAUUACUCCAUGCCCAGCUUGAUUCUUGGUUCUACAUAGUCCUCUAAUUUUGACAUUGCCAGUCAGCUUCAAGUGUGGGCCUCCCUCCAUGAGCCCUGUUCGUAGAGCUAUGAUUUUGAAGCUUUAAUGCAUCAGAAUUACCCAUGCAGGCAAAGGAGGAGGUUGCUGUAUACUUACUUAAAAUGCAAAUUCCGGGGUGCCUGGGUGGCUUGGUUGGGCAUCCGACUUUGGCUCAGGUCAUGAUCUCAUGGCUCAUGGGUCCAAGCCCCAUGUCAGGCUCUGUGCUGACAGCUCAGAGCCUGGAGUCUGCUUCGGAUUGUGUGUCUCCCUCUCUCUCUGCCCCUCCCCUUCUUGCACUCUGUCUCUGUCUCUCAAAAAUAAAUAACCAUUAAAAAUAAAUAAAUAAAAUGCAAAUUUCUGGGGCACCUGGGUGGCUCAUUCAGUUAAGCGUCUGACACUUAAUCUCAGCUCAGGUCUUGAUCUCAGCUCUGGGUGUGAAGCCUACUAAAAAAAAUGCAAAUUCCUGGGGGCACCUGGCUGGCUGAGUUGGAAGAGCAUGUGAUUCUUGAUCUCGGGGUCAUGAGUUUGAGCCCCACAAUGGGUGUAGAGAUUACUUAUAAAAAAUAAGGGUGCCUGCAUGGUUCAGUGGCAUCUGACUUUUGAUUUCAGCUCAGGUCAUGAUAUUGCAGUUUGUGGGUUCAUGCUCCACAUCAGGCUCUGUGCUAACAGUGUGGAGCCUGCUUGGGAUUCUGUCUCUUUCUCUCUCUCUGUGUUUCUCCCCUGCUUGUUUUCUGUCUCUCUCUCUCUCAAAAUAAAUAAAAAUAAACAUUUUAAAAAUAUAAAAAAUAAAUAGGGGUACCUUUGUGGCUCAGUUGGUUAAGUAUCUGACUCUUGGUUUCAGCUCAGGUCACAAUCUCAGCCCUGAAAGGGGUUCUGCGCUGACAGUGUGGAACCUGCUUGCGAUUCUCUCUGCCCCUUCCGUUCCCCUCUCCCCUCCCCCUUUAUACAAAAUGUACAGCCACUCAAUACAAAGUAACCCCAUGUUACUCUCUUAGUACCUCAUUUGCUUUCAUUAGAUCCCUUACUGCUUUUUUAAUAGUUUGUCUUUCUCACCUACCAGAUUAUAAAUUUCAUUAAGGUAGGGACCUUCUUGCUAGAGGUUGUAUUUUCAGUGCUUAGAGGCAUUCAGGAAGUAUUUGAUGACUAAAUUACUCCUUACCUUCUUGUCAGUACCCAUGUGGGUUCUUUGUGGCUCUGCACAAACUCUCAUCCUUUGUAUGUGUUGUUGCCUCUGCCAGAAGCACCCUUACUCUCAUCAGCUGGUCAGACUUUUUCUUGUCCUUUCCCACUUCUCUCAGCAAGUCUUUGACUUCCCCAGGCAGUGCUAGUUCAAUAGAGUUAGCACUUUGGUCCUCUCAAAUGGACUUUUUGCCCUGUGUGGUGAUUUUAUCUGUGUAAGAGAUAGAUGGUAUUGCCCUUGGUUUACCAAAAGCUCUGAGAGGUGGAUUAACUUGGAAGUGGUUAGAACUGAGAUUCAAACCCCUAUGUAUCUGUAGAGCCCUCACUCAAUCCACCUUGCUUGCUCUAAAAGAAACCAAAGAGACCUAGAGACAUUGAAGUGAAAGAGAUUUUGUUUUUAAUUAGGUAAUGAAAGUGUGUGUUUGUGUGUGUGUGUGUGCGUGCAUGCAUGUGUGUGCAUGUGUACAUGCAUGUGUGGGAGGGAUGUUCCCUGUUGAAAGCCCAGGAAAGAGCAGAAGCUAGAUGGGGCAUGAAAGGCUGUGGCCCCAUGGUGUGUAAUGAGGCUUCUGUGUUGCAGGCCUGAGGAGAAUCUCAGAUUUCUGACCUCUUCCUAAUUUCAAGCCUGGGUAUUCAACUGUCCUCAGGGCCACUUGGACCUGUAUGUAUCAUUGGCUUCCUAAAUUUAGUAGCAUAUGGUAGGAAUGUUUGAUUACAGUGAUUUGUCAUUUUUGGUGAUAGUAUAUGAAAGCAUUUAACACAGGGCCUUUUGCACACUGUAGGUUUCCAACAGGUGACAGAGAGUAUGUGAGAAAUAUUUUGAAACUGUUAAGUCUUUCCCCAGGUCCCUUAACUCUACUCCUGUGCCUCCUACCCUCAGGCUAAAUAGGAGAUAGCAACAUGGAUUCCACCUUUGGGAACUUGCUGAUUCCUUGUUGGUGGCUUUAUGCUUAGGCAAGAAGUGUAAUUGAUUUCCACAUAUCUGAGAGCAUAUAUAUCUGGACCCUGUCCACCAGAUUACUCAAAAUCUUACCCCAGACUGAAAAUGUUACCUUGGGCAACUUUCUUGGUAGGUACCUUAGGCUUGAGAAUCUUAGUGGGGAAGACUGCGAAUCUCUAGGAUGGUCAUGCAAGGUGGUGAAUGUAUGGGGGUUGAACAUGAGUUUAACUUAGCCAGGAUAGCUUAUUGGGUGCAGACAUGGAGGAAGGGAUAAAAUAGGGAGCAAAAUGGGCUCAACUCUUUGUAAUUUUCUGCUGGUAGGAAGGUGUACGCACUUGUGUGCCAGGGGCAGAGCUCUGGCCUGCUGUGAGAGUCAGGUUUACUCCUGGCUGCCCUGCAAGGCAUUUGGGAUUUAGUAGGAGAUGAAAUAGGAAAUCUGAAUCCCCGAUAGCUUUGCUUCAGAUCUUAUAGAUCUGUAGGAAGGAAGUGUGCCUCCCAGGAUCUCUCAGUCCUCUGAAUCACCACCUACAUGCUGAAAUAAGGAAUUCCAUCCAGAUGUAUGGGGGUGUCCCUUCAUCCUUCUUAGGCUCCAUCAACUUGCCUUGAUCUUAAGCUUUUAUCCUUUUCCCCCUGUCACUGACCUGGCUUCUGGAAAGGAGAGGGAAAAGGAUGAGGAAGGAAGGGGAGAGUUAAAUAACUUGUGGGGGGUAGGUGGAUUUGUGGUCCUUAAAUCUUUUCUGGAACGAAGUGUAGGUGUGAGGAGGAAGUGAGUGAGUGGGGAGAAUAAAUAAAGGCUACUGGUACCACUUGUCUGGCACUCAGCCUGGACCCCUGCUUAGUAUUAUCAUGUUCUUUCUGUGUUGUUUUUCUUCUCCUUUUUAAAGCAUAAGUGUGUAUGCACAUGUAAUUUCAUGUCAGUGGAAUCAUACCUUAAUACUGUUUUUCUUACUUAUACUGUUUUGUAAUUUUCUUUCAUUUUUUCUCCAGCUUUAUUGAGAUAUAAUUGACAAAUGAUUAUCACAAUAUGGUUAUCGCCUGACGUAGUUACCUAUUUUUGUGUGUGUGUGGUAAGAGUCAUUUUAUAAUUUGUUAUAGACACUUUAUCAUGUAAAUAAAUAUAGAAUAAAUGGCUAAAUUAUAUUUCUAUUUUUUAAAUUAAGUUUAUUUUUGUGAGAGAGAGAGAGAGAGAGAGGGAGGGCAGGCAGGCCCAUGUGUGGGAGGGGCAUGGCAGGGGGAACAGAGGAUCCGAAGUGGGCUCUGUGCUGACAGUGGAGAGCCUGAUAUGGGGCACGAAUUCAUGAAUCUUGAGAUGAUGGCCUGAGCGAAGUUGGACGCUUAACCAACUGAGUCACCCAAGUGCCCCGCUAAAUUAUAUUUUGUUGUAUGGAUGUACCAUAAUGCAUUUUAUUCUUCAGUAUUGAAUAUGUUUAUCUCAUUUGUUAUCAAUGGGCCCUUCCCUGACCCCCUUACUUAAAAUUGUAGCAAACCCCCUUUCUUUCCUUUCUCCCUUCUCUCCUUUAUUUUUGUCUAUAGCAUUCAGCACCAUUUGGUACAUACUUUUCUUAUUUAUUAUUGCCCACCACCCUCCAUUAGAAUGUAAGCUCCAUGAAGACAGAUUUUUUUUUUUCUUUUUUUAUUCACUGCUCUGUAGCUGUUGCUUGAAACAGUUCCUGGUACACAAUUGGUACUUGAUAAAUAUUUGUUGAAUGAAUGAAUUUGUUGGACUUUUGGUGUACUUGUUGGGCUUUUUUUUUUUUUUUUAAAGUUUAUUUUAUUUUGAGAGAGAGCACACAUGCAUGUGCGAGCAAGGAAGGGGCAGAGAGAGAGGAGAGAGAAAAUCCCAACAGGUUCCAUGCUGUCAUGCAGAGAUCUUUGGCGGGCUCAAUCUCACAAGUGGUGAGGUGAUCUGAGCCAAUAUCAAGAGUCAGAGGGGCGCCUGGGUGGCGCAGUCGGUUAAGCGUCCGACUUCAGCCAGGUCACGAUCUCGCGGUCCGGGAGUUCGAGCCCCGCGUCAGGCUCUGGGCUGAUGGCUCGGAGCCUGGAGCCUGUUUCCGAUUCUGUGUCUCCCUCUCUCUCUGCCCCUCCCCCGUUCAUGCUCUGUCUCUCUCUGUCCCAAAAAUAAAUAAACGUUGAAAAAAAAAAAUUUAAAAAAUAAAAAAACGAGUCAGACACUGAGCUGACUGAGCCACCCAAGCUCCCCUUUGUUGGGCUUUUUUAUUUUAUUUUUUUUAUUUUUUUUUCAACCUUUUUUAUUUAUUUUUGGGACAGAGAGAGAUAGAGCAUGAACAGGGGAGGGGCAGAGAGGGGGGAGACACAGAAUCGGAAACAGGCUCCAGGCUCUGAGCCAUCAGCCCAGAGCCCGACGCGGGGCUCGAACUCCCGGACCGCGAGAUCGUGACCUGGCUGAAGUCGGACGCUUAACCGACUGAGCCACCCAGGCGCCCCUGGGCUUUUUUAAAAUUGUUUUAAUGUUUAUUUAUUUUUGAGAGAGAGAGAGACAGAAUGUGAACAGGGGAGGGGCAGAGAGGGGGCAACACAGAAUCUGAAGCAGGCUUCAGGCUCUGAGCUAUUAGCACAGAGCCCAGCGUGGGGCUCAAACUCACAAACUGCCAGAUCACGACCUGAGCCAAAGUCAGACAGUUAACUGACUGAGCCACCUAGGCACCCCUGUUUGGCUUUUUAUUUGCAGUUUUUUAGUAAUCUCUGCAUCCAGCAUGGGGCUUCAACUCACGACCUCAAGAUCAUGUGUCGCUCUCGACUGAGCCAGCCAGGAGCCUUCUUUGCAGCAUUUAUGUCAUUAUGUGCAUUCUGUGAUAAACACCCUGUACAUAAUCUUUGUACACUUGUCUACUUACCUUCUUGGGAUGAAUUCUAAGAAAUAGAAUGGCUGAUUUAAAAGAUAUACACAUUUAUUAAAUUUUUUUUUAUUAUUUUUUAAUGUUUAUUUUGGGGACAGAGAGAGACAGAGCAUGAAUGGGGGAGGGGCAGAGAGAGAGGGAGACACAGAAUCAAAGCAGGCUCCAGGCUCUGAGCCAUCAGCCCAGAGCCUGAUGCGGGGCUCGAACUCACGGACCGCGAGAUCGUGACCUGAGCUGAAGUCGGACGCUUAACCGACUGAGCCACCCAGGCACCCCAAAUUUUUGAAAAAUGUUUAUUUAUUUUUAAGAGAGAGAGAGAGACAGAGCAUAGGGGCAAAGAGAGAGGGAGACACAGAAUCCAAAGAAGGUUUCAGGCUCUGAGCUGUUACCACAGAGCUCGACACAGGGCUUGAACCCACCAACCAUGAGAUCAUGACCUGAGCCGAAGUUGGGCACUUAACUAACUGAGCCACCUAGGUGCCCCAAGGAUAUACACAUUUAAAAUGUUGGUUCAUGGAACCAAACUGCCCUUAAGAAUGUUAACUUCUAGGGGCACCUGGGUGGCUUGGUUGGUUAUGUGAUUGACCCUUGAUUUAGGCUCAGGUCAUGAUCUCACAGUUUGGUUGGUGAGGUCAAGCCCCACUUCAGGCUCUACGCUGACAGUGCAGAGACUGCUUGGGAUUCUCUCUCCCUGUCACUCUCUCCCUCUCCUUCUCACACUUGUGCACGUGUGUUCACUCUUUCUCCCUGUCUCUCUGUCUCUCUCAAAAUAAAUAUUUUUUUAAAAAUGUUAACUUCUUCCAACAGAACAUGAGAUUGUCUAUUUCCCCACAUUAUUAGUAAUACUGGGUUGUAUGUUUUUCAUCUUCCCCAUUUGACAGGUGAAAAGUGGUCUUGUCACUCUAAUAUGGUGGUUGAGAAUGUGACUCUGAUAUGAUGUGAUGUGAUAUGGUAUAUGAUUCUGGAGCCAGCCUGCUGGGGCCUGAAUUCGGACAUAACCACUUACUGUGUGACCUUGGGUAAGUCAUUUAACUUCUCUAUCCCUCAGUUUCAUCUUUGAUAAGGUAGGUAUAAUAAUAGCUCAUAUUUCGUGAAGAAUAAAUCAGUUAAUCUAAAAUGUUUCAAAUAGUCAUGGAGAUAUGUCACUCAAGUAUUUAAAAAAAAAUUUUUUUUUAACAUCUAUUCAUUUUUGAGAGAUGGAGAGAGAGCAUGAGUGGGUAAGGGGCAGAGAGCGAGGGAGACACAUAAUCUGAAGCAGGCUCCAGGCUCCAAGCUGUCAGCACAGAGCUCAAACCCACGAACUGCGAGAUCAUGACCUGAGCUGAAGUCAGAUGCCUAACUGACUGAGCCACCCAGGCGCCCCUCACUAAGUAUGUUUUAAUGUUUCUUUGUAUAUUAAAGAUUGAAUAUCUUUUCAAAUGUAUUUUUGACGUUUAUAUUUUUUGAGUCAUUGAUCCAUGUCCUUUGCACAUUUUUCCAGUAUUAUUUUCUUAAUAAUUCGUAAGAGCUAAAGUGUUGACCAUUAUAUAUGGUGCAGAAUUGUCCCCGGUUUGUCAUUUGUCUUUUGACUGUGUUUAUGCAGUUUUUUGUUGUUGUUGGGAAAUUCUGCAUUUUUAGGUGGUCAAAAUAAUCUUUUCUUAUAGUUUUUCCUACUGCUAGGCCAAUAUUUAGAAAAGGCAUGCUUCCCUACCUGAAAAUUAUAAAAAAUAGUUAUUCAUUCUCUUUGAAUACUUGGGGUGUGUGUGUGUGUGCGCGUGUGCGUGUGUGUGUGUGUGUGUGUUUAAACUUAAUCUUUAAGUCUUUGAUCCAUCUGGAAUUUAUUUUGAUAUGAAGAUAGCAGUAGAUAUCUGGCUCUAUUUCUUUUCAGUUGUGUACUGUCCCAAACCUGUUUAUUAAAAAAGAAAGAGCAGCAGCCUUUAAUCUUUAAUCUUCCUUCCCCUAAUUUGAAAGUAAGAUAUCCUAGAGAUAGCAAAUCUCCAUUUCAGAGAAUGAAUUUCAUGUUUGGACUCAGUAGUCAUUCAGUUGCCAAGCUGUGGGAUGAAUAUGCUGUGUAAAGCAGUUUGGGAUCAGAACUCACAGCUUGACUCUAAGUGAUGAGACUGCUGCAUUCACUAGUGUAGGCUUCUCUGCUGGCUCUUCUUUGGAGGCUCCUUCUAAAUAGGUCCUACUUUGAGGACUGCUUUGAAGGGGCUAUUGUUAAUUUGGAAUGGCAAAUUCUGUGUCUUUCAAAAAACAAAUGAAGUAAUUGUAGUGGAUGUUUCCUCACUCCAGCCCAGAGUAUUGGUAGGGUAUUUAUAGGGGGUAUUGAAUGGUAAUGAACCCAUUGUCUUCUACCUGUGUCCUCAGGUAGAGCAGGUCUUUUUGGAACUCUUGUUCCAUCUAGUUUCUUGCCUCUGACUCAAGAUGGAGGGAGAGUGGGUCUUAUAUAACAGAGUGUUCACAUAUCCCAUGGCAGCUGUCAUCUGCUAAAGAUGAUGAAGAAGGGUAGCUAAUUCUUACAGGGCAUAUGUUAUGUGCCAGCAGCUGUUCCAAGCACUUUACAUAUAUAAAGUUUUUAUGAGAUAGGUGUUCUGUACUGGGUUGAAUAGUGUCUUCCCAACAGUUCAUGUCCACCCAGAACCUAUAAAUGUGAUCUUAUUUGGAAGUAGGAUCCUUGUAGAUGUAAUCAAGUUAAGAUGAAGUCAUACUGGAUUAGGAUGGGCCCUAAUCUAGUGACUGGUGUUCUUAUAUGAAGAGGGAGACACAGAGAGAGAAGAUGUCUGUAUGAAGAUGGAAGCAGAGAUUGGAGUUGUGCUGCCACGAACCAAGGGAUGGCAAGGAUUACUGGCAACCACCAGAAGCUGGAAGAGACAAAGAUUCUCCUCUGGAGCCUUCAGAGGGAGCAUGACCCUGCUGAAACCUUGAUUUUGGACUUCUAGCCUCCAGAACAAUGAGAGAAUAAAUAUCUUUUGUUUGAAGUCACCCAGUUUGUAGUGUUUGUUACAGCAGCCCUGAGAAACCAAACAUGCUCUUUUAUCGUCUUCUUUUUCGAAUAAGGAAACAGGCCCAGAGAGGUUAGAUACUUUGAGAUCUCUGUAGGCCACUGCUCUGCUGGCUGGGCACUUACUCUGAAGCUCCUCAUGUUGCUGUUGUCAGCUCUGCACCACGACCAUUACACCUUUUGGUAGUGCUGGGGCUGAGCUGAAGGAAUGGCUCCUCCUCUAACACAGCAGGCCACAGCCCUUCCCCAUUCUUGCCUUCUUCACACCCUAAAGCAGAAACUCCUCUCAGGAGGCUUCUGACUGUAGCCUGAUCAUUUCCGCAGGUUGCUUCCCAGCCCCACUCCUCCAGGUGAUACCAGGCUUUUAUUAUUUUUUAAUUAAAAAAAUUUUUUUUAAAUGUUUAUUUUGAGAGAGCAUGAGCAGGGGAGGGGGCAGAGAGAGGAGACAGAGGAUCUGAAGCAGACUCUGUGCUGUCAGCAUGGAGCCCAACACAGGGCUCGAGCUCAUGAACCAUGAGAUCAUGACUUGAGCCGAAGUUGGACACUUAACCAGCUGAACCACCCAGGUGCCCCUGGGUUUCUAUUUUUCAUUUCCAUGCAGUGUUAGAGAAAUGUGGGUGACAUUUGGGGGGAGUGUCACUCAGUUUCUAACAGUUUUUAUGUUUCCCAUUUCUGGACUGCUAUACUUCCUAGAACUCCUGUCAGUAGAUGACUCAAGUCUUGGUGUGGAUUUUUGUUUUCGUUUUUGAGCUUCAGGAUAUCACACACAGCUCAGAUGGCAGAUACCACAGUUCAUGGCUGUGAGCAGAGAAGGAGCAGCAUCAUGGCCACAUUGGCUCUGAGGGCCCUGGUCACCUGUUUUUGAUAAACCGAACAUACCACAGUGGCUCUGUCCUUUGCCAAAGUGAGUGGGGGAUAAGGAUGUUCUCUGACCCAGCCCAGCUACCUAAACAGCUCCUUAUUUGCCCAUGGUCUCUUUUGCUGGCAUCCCAGAAGGGAUCUCCUUCCUCAGCAUCUCAUUGCUGGCUGCAGAAUUUUGCCUAUUUUCCAAUUUGGACCUUUUGCUUUGGGUCCUGCUCUUACUCUUAACAACUCUCACUAGGCUGAGCUCCAGGAACUCAGGAACCAUAUUUGUUUUGUUUGCUGCUAUAUCCUAGGAAUGAGGAAAAACCUGGUACUUACUAGCCCUCAAGAAAUGUAUAUUGAAUGAAGAAAUGAAACAAUAUUAAACACAAAAUAAGUAUAAGGAAAAUCCAGCGAAAUUCUGAUUUUUACCAUGAUGACUAAUUAGAUCAAUAUAAUUUGAAAUAUCUGUUUUUGUCUCUGCUUUUCCAGUUCUCUAAGCACAUGCUAUUGGAUAAUCCUGCCUGGAUCAGUCCUUUCCACACCUUGGACUUCACCUUCUUUUCCUCUUUAUUCUAUCUGCUAAAGUUGCCAGCC